CGAACCCCGAUAUCUCCCAUUCUGGAAUCGACUUGCUGCCUCCCACCACCACCGUUCCUUUCAGAUCCGACGCCUUCGGACCCAACUCGAAGUUCCCGUUCGCCACCAGUCCUGUGCUCACCGUUCACCGGAGAGCUUACCAUCGAUAAUGGAGAAGGAGACAUGAAAGGUGGAAUACAAGAGCACCGACAGAAAUAGGAACCUUCCCUUCAUGUUUUCUGGGAUGAGAAACUCUGCAAUUUUGGGAUAAUAAUGAGGUGAAAAGGGAGGAAGAUGAAAGAAGGGAGAAAAAGCAUUGUGGAUCAGUGGAGGGAGAGUGUCUUAUGUUAUGAUAGACUAAAGGGAAGAAGAACAAAGAUACUACUUGGAGCUGAAAUCAUUAAUGGUGCAUUGAAAGAUGAAACAUUUGCAUGUUAUUAGAGUCCAUGGAGAAAACACAUCACGAGGAAGGUGGGGAAGAGGAAGAAAGUGAGGACAAGAAGAGAGAGAGUAAGAGAAAGUGACCCACAAAAAGGAUCUAGGUGGACUGUAUUGGGCAUUGUUUCAUGAUGAUGGGAUUGCUGCAAAAUAGUCACCCACCUAUAAUUGGGAAAGAUCACACACACAUACACACAUUGGUUUUGUUCAUGGGCCUUCAUUCAUGCUUUCAAGUUAUGUGGGCCUUUUCAUAUGGAAAGUGGUUAUGCUUUCACUCUCACUCUCAUGCAUGGAUGAUGAGGUCCAUUUCAAUCUCCCAUCUUCAUCAUUCAAUUCUAUAUUAUUCAUUUAUUUUCAUCUUAGAGUGACUUCCACAUGCAAAUCAAUGUCUAAUUAUAAUCUACCGACAUGCAUUUCAUAUUAAGAAUUGAUUUAUAUUGUUUUCAUU